GACCCUUCACUGUCUCCUCUCAACAGGAAAGACCCUUCACUCUCACCUCUCAACUCAAGGUCCACUUGUCUUACUCUCCGAAGCAUUUCCACUGGACUCCCAUGAUGAUGAGAAUGAAGCAGACCUUCAUUUUGGUCAUGUUACUUUUUCAACUGACCACCUCGGCAUUUCAAUUUGGAGAUAUCAUUCGAUCCCAAGUGGAAUGGAGCUUGUUGAAGAAAGGCAAUCAAAAGAGGCUGCUGCCGCUAGGAUUUCACUUUGCAAUCUACGUUGGUGACCCACCAAAACCAAUUCCUGACCGUCACCAAAACACCAUUUUUAAUUUUGAUGGAGAAGGAUGUUUAUUUGACGUUAUUCAUGAAGGUGAAGCAUAUGAAAAAUAUAAUCAUUUGGAUGGACACAAAGGAUAUACAGUCAGA